UAAUAAGUGUUUUACGGCACUUUUUUAAAUCCAUAUCCACCUUGUGUGCAAUGUCAGUCGGUUUUCUUUUUCGUCAAGAAAAAAAAGGAUCGACCAAACAUCAACUUAUUCUAAUUGAACUUUUGUCUGAAAACUAUUAUGAAUAAACUAAUUCAAAAUA
rnacentral:misc_RNA from 1 species